AUUGAACGCUGGCGGCAGGCCUAACACAUGCAAGUCGAGCGAGCGGCGGACGGGUGAGUAAUGUCUGGGAAACAGCCUGAUGGAGGGGGAUAACUACUGGAAACGGUAGCUAAUACCGCAUACCAUCAGAUGUGCCAAGAUGGGAUUAGCUGGGAGGUGGGGUAACGGCUCACCUAGGCGACGAUCCCUAGCUGGUCUGAGUGGAGGACCAGCCACCCGGGAACUGAGAACCGGUCCAGACUCCUCCGGGAGGCAGCAGUGGGGAAUAUUGCACAAUGGGCGCAAGCCUGAUGCAGCCAUGCCGCGUGUGUGAAGAAGGCCUUCGGGUUGUAAAGCACUUUCAGCGGGGAGGCGUUACCCGCAGAAGAAGCACCGGCUAACUCCGUGCCAGCAGCCGCGGUAAUUC
rnacentral:rRNA from 1 species